rnacentral:ncRNA from 1 species
GAAAGACGGUGAACUAUCAUGAUGCCUGGAUAGGGUGAAGCCAGAGGAAACUCUGGUGGAGGCUCAAACUCUGGUGGAGGCUCGCAGCGGUUCUGACGUGCAAAUCGAUCGUCAAAUUUGGGUAUAGGGGCGAAAGACUAAUCGAACUAUUAAGAAAC